GUAAAGUUACAAGAAGGCCACUAAUGGUCUUUUUAUUUUAAGAAAAAACUUCAAAUAUCAUUUCUGUAUUUUCACACUUUUUUAUUUUAAUACCAUAUGUUUAAAGUGUGUUAAUUUAGCAUCUGGCAGCGGUGAUUUCAUUUUUCUCUUUUUAUUAUCUCUUGCACUAAUUUUUCAUUAAAUCAACGACAAAGUUAAAACUGAAAGAUAUUAAAGUGAAUGUUCAAUAAAUCUAGUUGAGUAUCUGAAGUUUUUGUAUAUAUAAUUUAACGAAAUGUUAACAGAGAAGGUUAUGAAAAGAGAAAAAUAAAACCGCAGAGUAUUAAACUGAUAUAUUUUACACAACAGGAUAUUAAAAUGAGAAAGUGCGAAACAACAUGAUGGUAUUUAAAGUUUACCCUUAUUUUUAUUUUUUGUCGUAUGCACAAUUGGAU
rnacentral:lncRNA from 1 species